GGUGAGUAAUGCUUGGGAAUCUGCCCAGUAGUGGGGGACAACAGUCGGAAACGGCUGCUAAUACCGCAUACGCCCUACGGGGGAAAGCAGGGGAUCUUCGGACCUUGCGCUAUUGGAUGAGCCUAAGUCGGAUUAGCUAGUUGGUGGGGUAAAGGCCUACCAAGGCGACGAUCCGUAGCUGGUCUGAGAGGAUGAUCAGCCACAUCGGGACUGAGACACGGCCCGAACUCCUACGGGAGGCAGCAGUGGGGAAUAUUGGACAAUGGGGAGGCAACCCUGAUCCAGCCAUGCCGCGUGUGUGAAGAAGGCUUUCGGGUUGUAAAGCACUUUCAGCGAGGAGGAAGGCCUUAAAGUUAAUACCUUUAAGGAUUGACGUUACUCGCAGAAGAAGCACCGGCUAACUCCGUGCCAGCAGCCGCGGUAAUACGGAGGGUGCAAGCGUUAAUCGGAAUUACUGGGCGUAAAGCGCGCGUAGGUGGUUUGGUAAGCGAGAUGUGAAAGCCCCGGGCUUAACCUGGGAACGGCAUUUCGAACUGUCAGACUAGAGUGUGGUAGAGGGUAGUGGAAUUUCCUGUGUAGCGGUGAAAUGCGUA
rnacentral:rRNA from 1 species